UCCCUGGAGGACUAGUGGUUAGGCCACAGGGCUCUCACCGCUGCGGCCCGUUCGAUUCCGGGCCAGGGAA
rnacentral:tRNA from 1 species